CCGGCCUCCAGCGGCGGAGCGGACCCCUUAACCGGCUGGGCCGCGGGAGACGCCCCGCAGGAGGUUCAGUCGGUGCCCUGCUCUCGUUCAGUGCGGACUGAUUUCAGCGCCGCUGCUCCGCGUCAUGUUCGCUCUGGCCCAGCUGACGGAGUGGCCCCGUGUCGGGGCCCUUCCAUUUCUGUGACAGAGGUGUACGACUGUGUCAAUUGCCACGGAAGGUACAACGAUGAACAAGACGUAGUCCUUGCUCUCCACAGGAAGUCAAGGGAGAAAACACAUGUAUGUAAAGAACCGGAACCAUAUGCCAUAAAACCAUGAGCCCGUUGCCCCGACCUGCAGCCUGGCCCAGUGCGCCCCACUGUCGUGGAGUAGAGAAUGGCCGGUAGUAUCACUGGUGGCGUCGCCAUACUGAGCUGUAGCCCCUCCGAUUUCAUCUAUUCUUUUUUUUUUUUUUUUGACGUACAUGUAUGUUUUCUUUUUUAACGAUGCUGGACCAUGUCGAAGGGCACUUUUUCGGUGAAUCUCUCCUGCUCGUGGAGGAUUUUCUGUCUCUAGCGAUGGACCUGCGGGCCGCAGCCUUUGUGAGUCUUCACGCUAUAACAGGUAUUGCUAAAUUGUCCCACAAAGAAAUUGCCUUCCCAUAACCACAUCUUGCACAUUCCAGCAGGCUUUUCCUUGCGGGGCCUCAACUUUGAAAGCAGAAAACAGAAAUAUAAGCCAAGGAAAGAAAAUGGCUUUGAGAAUACAUUUAGUUAUCAGUGGAACUUACCGCCGACUGUUUACUUUCCAAUCUGAAGGCGUUUCUCCUGUGUGAUCACCUCCCUUCAUAUACAGUCAGUGCAUCGUGGUCAAGCCCUGGUGCCCUGGCAUUUGGGAGCGCGGCUGCAAAGGCGUCCACGCGAAAGGACUUCUCUGAGAGUUUGAAGAACUGGGAAGCUAAGACAUACACUAUAGAUAAAAGUCAAUUACUUAAAUAAUGCUUUAGCAGAAAGAGAGAAAAGAUUAUCACUGGAUAGUGCUGACUCAUCAUUGAAUGAGUUGCGCCUACAUUAAUUCUAUAGAGGUUCUCAAGUCGGGGAAGUCAGAGCCUGUGUGAUUCCAAUUUGCCGUAGAAUGGUUUCCUAGCAACCAUCACUAGAUGAGAAUCAGCUAACUCUGCUUUUUGAAGCAGACUUUAGUCCCUUAGAAAAAAUGAGUUAAAUAAAUGCCAGCUUAAAGUAGAAUUUGACCACGUAAAAAUGUAUUUGAAAUACAUGACUUUUGAACAAAGAUCUAAAGUGGUUUCCUUUCCCAGAACCUAACAAAGGUGGAUGUGUGGAAGUGGAAGGGGCACCAGACUGAGGGACUUGGGCACCUGACUUUUCCUGGGAAUUGGGGUUGGACACUGAUGAAUAAAGACAGCAGACCAACUGGGGGUGGGGCAACUGAGCUGCGCACUUGAAUUCCAGAAGCGAGCAAUUUCCUAGGCGCACCUGACCCAGGAAGUCUUAGAGACAGCUGACAGGUGGGGAAAUUAGCCAUUUGGGCAUAAGCCCUAGAGACUCGCUCCAUGGCACUGGCUUCUACUUUGUCCCCAGAGGUUAGUUCUAAGGGACAAACAUCAUGUAUCUCCUGACAUAGAAAAAAACAGCAUUAACCUGAUAGUCCAUUUCUAUUUCUCUUACCACAUCUUAUGACCUCUGAUGGUGGCUGGUUGGAAAAGGGAAGAUCUCAAGGGCAUUCCCAGGAAGAAGGCCCACGAGGGGUCGGUUUGUGUAGUUUGAGCUUACUAUGUGCUUGUGGCUCCGGCACCCGAGAGAACCUGACAGAGGAAACGGUCACCACCGAAGGACAGAAUUUUCAAAGCAAACUCUUUCAGCUAGGACCACAUCAAAGAGACAUUUCUGGGGCUUUCAGAUAGAAAUGGAGACUCACAGAGUUCUAGAUUUGGAAGAGACUUUUACAUAUCAAAUGUAUAGAAUAUAAAAGAAAAUAAUUCUGCCUUGCUGUCUGGAGUUAUAAUUGUACCUGACUUCACCUGAAGAGGAAACUGCCUCUUUACCUUCCUCCUUUGUACAAAAUAAAUGCUAUUACAUACUCUCAGAGAUACCUGUAAGAGUUGAUACAACUGAGAAUAAAAUAUAAAUGAAGAGAUCCUGAAAAAAUUCUUAUUAUUCUUAAAAUUGAGUAAGUUUUUUAAGUUAAGCUAAAUCUAGAAGUGAUAGAAUUCUGUUAAUGAUAGGUCACCUUGGUGCAGUUUUCCAGCACUAUAAUUUCUGCUGCAUAUCCAAUGUCAUUGAAAGUCUUUAGAA